rnacentral:rRNA from 1 species
GAUGGGGACGCCGGAGUUAAUCGGGUCGGGGCGUUAGAUACCCCCGUGCCGCAAGGCCGACAGCUUGAUCUGGAAGCCCGAAGCAUUUCCGGCCACGAAAAGCCAUCGGAGGACGACAUGCGUGGCCCGUACCGCAAUCCGACACAGGUGUGCUAGGCGAGCAUCCGAAGGCGUUCGGGAGAACUCUCGUGAAGGAACUCGGCAAAAUGACCCCGUACCUUCGGUACAAGGGGUGCUCCCUCGCAAGGGGGAGCCGCAGAGAAUCGGCUCUAGCGACUGUUUACCAAAAACACAGGACUCUGCCAACUCGCAAGAGGACGUAUAGAGUCUGACGCCUGCUCGGUGUCGAUAGGUUAAGGAAGGCGAUGACCGCAAGGGAAGUUGCCGACCGAAGCCCCGAUAAACGGCGGCCGUUACUAUGACGGUCCUAAGGUAGCGAAGUUCCUUGUCGGGUAAGUUCCGACCUGCAUGAAUGGCGUAACGACUGGAGCACUGUCUCCACGAGAGACCCGGUGAAACUGUAGUCGUGGUGAAGAUGCCACGUACCCGCGGUCAGACGGAAAGACCCCGUGAACCUUUACUGCAGGUUGGCAUUGGCCCAAUGCUCGUUCUGUGUAGGAUAGGUGGGAGGCAGUGACCCGGCGGCGCCAGCCGUCGGCGAGCCAACGGAGAAAUACCACCCUGAAUGAUCGUUGGUCCUCACCGGUCCGUAGCCCGGAUCGGGACAGUGCUCAUCGGGCAGUUUGACUGGGGCGGUCUCCUCCCAAAGAGUAACGGAGGAGCGCCAUGGUACCCUCGGCCCGGUCGGCAAUCGGGCAACGCGAGCGCAAACGUAUAAGGGUGCCUGACUGCGAGACUGAUCAGUCGAGCAGGGACGAAAGUCGGCGUUAGUGAUCCGGCGGUGCUGGAUGGAAAGGCCGUCGCUCAACAGAUAAAAGGUACUCUGGGGAUAACAGGCUGAUCUCCCCCGAGCGUCCCUAGCGGCGGGGAGGUUUGGCACCUCGAUGUCGGCUCAUCGCAUCCUGGGGCUGGAGAAGGUCCCAAGGGUUUGGCUGUUCGCCAAUGAAAGCGGUACGCGAGCUGGGUUCAGACCGUCGUGAGACAGGUCGGUCCCUAUCUGCCGUGGGCGUAGGAAACUUGAGGAGAGUCUCCCCUAGUACGAGAGGAUUGGGGAGGACCGACCGCUGGUGUACCGGCUGUCCCGCUCGGGGCACCGCCGGGUAGCUAGGUCGGGACAGGAUAAGCGCUGAAGGCAUCUAAGCGCGAAGCCCCCUCCGAGACGAGGUUUCCAUUGGAUUUAUCCAUGAAGGCUCCUGGAAGACGACCAGGUAGAUAGGCCGGACGUGUAAGGCGAGUGAUCGCUUGAGCCGACCGGUCCUAACAGCCGAGCAGCUUGACCAC